GAUGAAGAACGUAGCGAAAUGCGAUAAGUAAUGUGAAUUGCAGAAUUCAGUGAAUCAUCGAAUCUUUGAACGCAUCUUGCGCUCCUUGGUAUUCUGAGGAGCAUGCCUGUUUGAGUGUCAUUAAAUUCUCAACUACACUGACUUUGAAUUGGUGUGGCUUGGAUUUGGGGGGAAAAUUGUUGUGGGCUUUUUGUAUAGUCUGCUCCCCUGAAAUUGAUUAGCGGUACCUUUGUGGAACUGUCUACAGGUGUGAUAAUUAUCUACAUCUUAGACANNNNNNNGAAUGCUGCUUUCUAAACCUUACUUGUAUUGACAAUCUUGACCUCAAAUCAGGUAGGACUACCCGCUGAACUUAAGCAUAUCAAUAAGCGGAGGA
rnacentral:misc_RNA from 1 species